AGAGUGAAGACAUUGAGCUCAAGAGGGACUGAAGCCUGUGUGUUUACCUCAGUGAGGACAGCAACACUCUCAUCAAGGAGUACUUGGAUGUCAACAGUGAGGAAGCUAAGAGAGAGAUCGCACAGAGCACCAUGGGGCUCUAUGUGAUUUGCAGAGAAGGUGCCGAUGAAGAGGACAAGCCAGCAGAUGUUGGAGUGGUGGUCGAGGGUGUGGAACUGCUAAGCGAGCUAGGAUGUAUUUCCUUCGUUUGUGCCAUGCUUUUUGGCCUGAUCUACACACUCAGCCUGAACUAUCCCCAAGAACUCAAAUUCACAUUUGAGUUCUUCCAGAAGGUUUUGAUGAACUUGGAUGGCAACAAACCGUUCCCAAAGGUGCAAACAUUAAAGAUUAAGAUGCUUCAGUGAGCUCACAAGAACAGUGCUGGAUAGUUGAGCUUGGCUGAUUGGACUUUGCCAUUGUGAUUGCCUGAAUGAAGCCCCCCCCACCCCCCCCACUAGUUCAUGUGGUUUAAACAAACACUGGAACAACUUGGUGUUUAGAUUGCUUUUGGCAUCUUCUAUUGCCCCUUUCUGUGAACUUUCUGAUUUGUUCAGAUUUGCUGUGUGUCAUAGCAAUUAGUGGAGGAAGCCGCUCUUGGACCCUGACAUUUUUGCACUGAGAUCUUUGUUGCCUAUACCAGCUUGGGAGACCUCUUUUUAUGCAGGUAUUAAGGCAGUUUGCCUUUUUUCAUGUUUCUCAUGUCUGACUUAUAAAAUAUCUCAAGGACUGCA